CAAGUUCUCUCUGAUACAAAUCUUCCUAACUAUUCUUUUGUGUUCUAUCUUUCAUUCUCUUAGUGAUUUCUAGUGUCUUGGGCUGACUUGGUAUAGCAAGAGUGUGAGUAAGUGGUUCACGAACGUGAACGAAUUGUCAAGUGCUUCACGUGUGAUUCAUAAAGCCAAAGAGUAAUUAUUGGAUGGCUGAAAAAGGAGAGGAGUGCGGGUCACAGAAGAAGACAUCGUGAUGAGGCUUUGUGCAUGCACCUGAUUCUAUUUCUUCCCUCCUUGUAUUAUUACUAGCUCAAAGCAAACAUUAGCUGUAAGAGCAUUGUAAGAGCAUCCAGAUGACUUUAUCCAAGAGACAUCACACACCAUUUACAUUGCUUGUGUGGCAUACAACAGUGUGUUCCUUAGAUAAAUUAUGUUACCUGAUUGGGACAUGUUCUACUCCCUUCAUCCAGUGUCGAGUAUUAUGGCUCAGUCAAGGCGUUGAUUAGUGAUCUUGUCUAUGUUAGGUAAGAAAUUUAUAUCUGACGAGCAAUUUUUUGAAUCCUUAUUUUGUAAUGACAAAUUGUUAUGUGAUGAUUUGUGACAAGUUGCUAAUAUUUUAUGUUCUAAAUGAUAGUGAUGCA